AAAUUGCCCUGAAACUGUUCCCUCCCACUUGAUGUACAGAUUGCGAUGAAUCAUUUCAUAAUGCUAUCUAAAUUACAGCAGGCUCAAGUGGAAUAACCUGGAAAUGAUGAUUGUGGUUUAUUUACUGCUGAUGCUCAGAGUGGGGCGUAAGUAUAUGUUAAAAAUAUCAGAUUUACUCCAGAUGUAUGUUUAAAGUGUUGUUAUUAUCUUACAGUAAUACAGUUUAACUAUUUCUCCAUUGUUAAUGUAAUAUAUAUUUUCAGGAUGCACAGAUGAUCAGAUCUUUGAGACCAGAACUGUUGGUGUGGGAGGCGAUGUGAGACUGACUUGUACUCGCAAGUCUACAGGAAGCUUGUUUUGGAUCAGACUCGUUUCUGGAGAAUUUCCUAAAGUCUUAGGAAAAACAUUUAGCUUUGAGAGUGAUCCUCGCAUUACAGCCACAGAGGAGCCCGGAACAUUUGUUCUGCAUAUUGCAAAAGCAAGGCUACGUGAUACUGCAGUUUACUACUGUAUGCAAAUACAUCAACAAAACUUCACAUUUUUGAAAGGAGCAGACCUGAGAGUUGAAGGACCAGAACCUGAUCCCACUGCUGUCCCUCCAUCUGAUCCAGUCGGUCCAGGAGACUCAGUGACUCUGCAGUGUUCAGUCCUCUCGGACUCUGAGAACAAGACGUGUCCAGAAGAACAAAGUGUGUUCUGUUUCAGAGCUGGAUCACAUCAAUGUGGCCCAGGUUUUAAUUAUACUCAAGGAAACAGUGUU